AGAGGUUAUGUGACUUGUUCCAGGUCUCGUGGAGUAAAUAAACUGGAAUCUGCUCCUCGCUGUCCUGCCCUUCACAUGGUGCCAGAGGCAGCUCCUGCGUGCACACCUGUGGCUCACCAGCCUGUCUGCUCCUGGGGAGCUGGGGCCUCCCCUGGUUUACAUCUGCAUCUCUAGGACACCCACGCUGCACUCUGCACACUGAGUUCUCAGGAGAUUCCUGCUGAGCAAAGAAGGAUGAAUUGUAGGCCUGCUUCUUUUUUUUUUUUGAGACGGAGUUUUGCUCUUGUUUCCCAGGCUGGAGUGCAAUGGCGUGAUCUCAGCUCACCACACCCUCCGCCUCCCGGGUUCAAGUGAUUCUCCUGCCUCAGCUUCCUGAGUAGCUGGGACUACAGGCAUGGGCCACCACACCUGGCUCAUUUUAUAUUUUUAGUAGAGACGGGGUUUGUCUAUGUUGGUCAGGCUGGCUGCGAACUCCCAACCUCAGGCGAUCCACCCGUCUCGGUCUCCUAAAGUGCUGGGAUUACAGGAGUGAGCCACCGCGCUUGGCCAGGCCUGCUUUUAAGGAUGCCCCAGGUCCAGAAAAUCAGGGCCAGCCCUGGGAAGUUCGCUCCUUCAGGCAGGUGUGCAUCUUCAUGUGAGACUUGAUCAGACCUGGGUUUUUGUAUCUACCCCACUCCGAAGCUCUCCUGCGUGAACCUGGAAUUCUCACUGCUUUGGGCAGGCCAGGCCACCACCAAGCCAGAUCUGGCGCCAGUGGAGAAAGGAGACAGGGAGGCAACUGCAGCCUGCCCAGUGUGGAGAGGGGCCAGAGCCCGGGCACUGGGCCCUGGUUAAUUGUGGAGCCAACCUGGUGUGUGGCAGCCAGGUCGGGCUGGUGUCUUCAGAGUGGCUGUGUCAGAAGUGCCUCGUGUAUGACAGAAACGCAGGCCAGCUGGAACAUCCCCAGGCGUUCUGUCCUGGAUCAAGCAAGAGGAAGGGGCAAGUGGGAGGAGCCAGCAGGGCCCACAGGAGACCACUGUGGCACACCUGUGCUCAGGUAAGGCAUGCUGGGCCAUGUCUCCCCAGGCCUGUAUCCCUGGGCCUUAGGAGACAUGGCGUCCCCUGGGGGGCCUCACAGCACCUCUAGUGGGG
rnacentral:lncRNA from 1 species